rnacentral:rRNA from 1 species
GUGAACGCUGGCGGUAGGCCUAACACAUGCAAGUCGAACGGCAGCACAGUAAGAGCUUGCUCUUACGGGUGGCGAGUGGCGGACGGGUGAGGAAUACAUCGGAAUCUACUUUUUCGUGGGGGAUAACGUAGGGAAACUUACGCUAAUACCGCAUACGACCUACGGGUGAAAGCAGGGGAUCUUCGGACCUUGCGCGAUUGAAUGAGCCGAUGUCGGAUUAGCUAGUUGGCGGGGUAAAGGCCCACCAAGGCGACGAUCCGUAGCUGGUCUGAGAGGAUGAUCAGCCACACUGGAACUGAGACACGGUCCAGACCCCUACGGGAGGCAGCAGUGGGGAAUAUUGGACAAUGGGCGCAAGCCUGAUCCAGCCAUACCGCGUGGGUGAAGAAGGCCUUCGGGUUGUAAAGCCCUUUUGUUGGGAAAGAAAAGCAGCAGGUUAAUACCCCGCUGUUCUGACGGUACCCAAAGAGUAAGCACCGGCUAACUUCGUG